rnacentral:rRNA from 1 species
AACAGGGAUUGCCUCAGUAACGGCGAGUGAAGCGGCAACAGCUCAAAUUUGAAAUCUGGCUCUUUCAGGGUCCGAGUUGUAAUUUGUAGAAGAUGCUUCGGGUGUGGCUCCGGUCUAAGUUCCUUGGAACAGGACGUCAUAGAGGGUGAGAAUCCCGUAUGUGACUGGCUGCCUCCCCCAUGUGAAGCUCUUUCGACGAGUCGAGUUGUUUGGGAAUGCAGCUCAAAAUGGGUGGUAAAUUUCAUCUAAAGCUAAAUAUUGGCCAGAGACCGAUAGCGCACAAGUAGAGUGAUCGAAAGAUGAAAAGCACUUUGGAAAGAGAGUUAAACAGUACGUGAAAUUGUUGAAAGGGAAGCGCUUGCAAUCAGACUUGCGCGCGGUCGAUCAUCCGAUGUUCUCACCGGUGCACUCGACCGUGCUCAGGCCAGCAUCGGUUUCGGUGGUUGGAUAAAGGCCUUGGGAAUGUGGCUCUCUUCGGGGAGUGUUAUAGCCCUCGGUGCAAUGCAGCCUACUGGGACCGAGGACCGCGCUUCGGCUAGGAUGCUGGCGUAAUGGUUGUAAGCGACCCGUCUUGAAACACGGACCAAGGAGUCUAACAUCUAUGCGAGUGUUUGGGUGUCAAACCCAUACGCGUAAUGAAAGUGAACGGAGGUGAGAACCCUUAAGGGUGCAUCAUCGACCGAUCCUGAUGUCUUCGGAUGGAUUUGAGUAAGAGCAUAGCUGUUGGGACCCGAAAGAUGGUGAACUAUGCCUGAAUAGGGUGAAGCCAGAGGAAACUCUGGUGGAGGCUCGCAGCGGUUCUGACGUGCAAAUCGAUCGUCAAAUUUGGGUAUAGGGGCGAAAGACUAAUCGA